CUUGUACUCCCUCCGUCCGAAAAUACUUGUCAUCAAAAUGAAUAAAUGGAGAUGUAUCUAAAACUAAAAUACGUCUAGAUACAUCCCCUUUUAUCCAUUUUGAUGACAAGUAUUUCCGGACGAAGGGAGUACAAU
rnacentral:pre_miRNA from 1 species